rfam:Coccidioides posadasii str. Silveira unplaced genomic scaffold supercont2.21, whole genome shotgun sequence.
GGGCGUUUGGUUUAGUGGUAUAACAUAUCUUUCGCAUAGAUAGGGUCGCCGGUUCGAUUCCGGCAACGUCCA